GAUCGCAACCGAGACUUUCACAGCCAUCGUUUCACCGUAGCUGUCUAUCAUACAACUCACAGUGUCCAUACGGUCUUGGCCCUCGAGUUUGCUCCUGGGAAAUGGUUUGCAGCUGUCCACGAUCUUCAUGUGUCUCUCCGGUCCUCUCUUCCUCCCGCCAACCAGUUGCAUCAGCGUACAGACGUCAUUAAACCACCAAAGAUGUGCAUUUUAACUUUGGGGAACUUUAUGAAUCAAAGAACUCACCUCGUCAGUGACCCGCCGAUAUAGCACCAAGCAAAGGAUGUAAAGAAAAUGGCGCAAACGAGUGCUUUCGGCUUCAAACCCUCUACCGGGAAAGUUAUGUGAAACCUAAAGGACUACGUCAGGAGUGACUAGUCAACACGUAGUGAACGUAUUGUCAGUGAUGCAUUAAUGUGUGCACAGCCGUACUUGGUCAAGAUGCAACUAGUUUAUAUAUAAGCCCGUUGUGUUUAUACGUCUUAUGCCUAUAGUCACAUAAACGGAACAUUUUGCCCUCCUUGUGAUUGGCGCUCUGCACGGGCCUAUUCUGCCAUUAAACAGCUGCUGUACAGAUGUGCCUGAGCGACUGAGGGGUUGAUUGGCACACUGUCUGUCACUGCCACGGAGGGCAGGUUACAUGUGUGGAAUACAGUCGAUGCCACACAUGUGACCGGACAGUCGAUUUGCAGUGGUCAGUUUGUGGAACACCCACAAAGUAUUUUAUCAUUUUCAUGGAUCGGGGUGUGUUGUUGUUGCAUAAAAAGAUCACACAACAAUAAUAAUCUCACAAUAAUAAUAAUAAUAAUAAUAAUACUAUUACUACUAUACUAAUAAUAAUAAUGAUAGUAAUGAAUUAAAACAGAAAAUAUAAAAGAAUGACAAAAUAUGAUUAGAGACACAUCUUCACUACAUAGUAUCUGGGCCAAAGUAUUCAAAUACUCCACAUAGGAAAUUAUCACAAGACUUUUUUUCUUCAGUCAGACUUAAAACAUGCAUAAUAAUAUUAGCCUAUAGAGUUAUGUGUUAUUCGUGUACAAAACUACAGCUCUAUUUCUUUAUUUUAGUCAUUAAAUCUGUUGUAAUACAAGUGGUGUGUCUGCCAGACUCUCUCUCUAAGGUGCCCGUUCCCCCAGUGAUGUUCCACGGUUGUGCCUUUCAUUGGUGUGGAUUUAACAGGUAUUCUUCACAUUUGUAAGUUUACUGUUGUUUUGUGUUGUUGCUGACGUCCACCUGGAUGAUCAUAAAGCCUACUACUACCUCUACAGAGUGACUGUAUGUAACAAAUGCAACCUUUCAUUACUGCAUUAUUUUAAAGACCCCAGUGCUGUCAAGGUACAUUUUUUAUGAAACAGUCUUACUGUUUUCUUGACCCACCUAGCCUUUCCUUCUCUCCCCUCACAGUAUAUUUGGAGUGAAGCUUUACCUUUCCCUGAUAUGGAGUUUAUGUUCUUUCUCUUUCAUUGUGAGUUUACGGAAUAGCGCUUGUUUUAGUUCUAGAAGAGACAGUAUCAGAUAAAUCCAGCAUAUCUGACCUCAGAUCUGCUUUCUGCCUCCCUCAGAGCAUCAAGGUCCGUUGCAGCCUUUCAUCUGAGCAAAUAUAAGUACAAAAUAAGCUGUCAUCUCCCUGUUCACCUAUACAUUUAAACUAUACCUUAACUGAUCCCUUCUCUUUCUUUCCUCUUCAUCUCUCAUUCUCUCUCUGUUUUUCAUAGUUUAAGGUGCCACUUUGAUGAGGAGCUCUUUUUGUGAUACUGUUGCCAUCUCUCCCAGGAUGAAUCCCUGAGUAGUGAAAGAGCAUAUCAGUUGUUUAACAUGUUACUCUCUUCCUUGUAGGUUGCUGUGUUUUAUUUUAAUUUUUGAAAUAACACCACAUGAACAUAUAUCCUGUGGUAUGUCAUGCGCUUUCACAUAUCUUAUAAAUAAACACAGUGGGCCGCCAUUACCAAAAUAUGCCUGUGUCAGUCCAGCCCUGUACCCAGAUGAUCCAGAAUGCAAUAAGACUUAAAAUGGAGAGCAGUUCAGAGUCAGUUCAAUAUUAAUGGAGUUCGUUUCUGUUAUCACAUGUUUACACUGACUUGCUUACUGUUGCCCAGGUUACCUGUUGGAAAAUCUUGCACAAAGGGCGUGUUUGUCUUUUAAAAGAUGUAGGGAACGUCUGAUCACAGCCAUGGAAUGUGGAAAUGUUCUCAGUUGUUUUUGUGGCUUUAAUAAAUAAAGGCUAAAUUCUGA